rnacentral:rRNA from 1 species
GCCAAGAGCCAUACCACCUGUAAGCUGAAGCUGGGUCUGGCCAGUAUGUGGAUGGGAGACCAAUUAGGAAAGCUGGGUUGCUGCUGGAA